CACGUAGGGUGCGAGCGUUUGUCCGGAAUUAUUGGGCGUAAAGAGCUCGUAGGCGGUGUGUCACGUCGGCCGUGAAAACCUGCAGCUUAACUGUGGGCGUGCGGUCGAUACGGGCAUCACUGGAGUUCGGCAGGGGAGACUGGAAUUCCUGGUGCAGCGGUGAAAUGCGCAGAUAUCAGGAGGAACACCGGUGGCGAAGGCGGGUCUCUGGGCCGAUACUGACGCUGAGGAGCGAAAGCGUGGGGAGCAAACGGG
rnacentral:rRNA from 1 species